CCUACGGGAGGCAGCAGUGAGGAAUAUUGGUCAAUGGCCGUAAGGCUGAACCAGCCAAGUCGCGUGAAGGAAGAAGGAUCUAUGGUUUGUAAACUUCUUUUAUAGGGGAAUAAAGGUAUCCACGUGUGGCUAUUUGCAUGUACCCUAUGAAUAAGCAUCGGCUAACUCCGUGCCAGCAGCCGCGGUAAUACGGAGGAUGCGAGCGUUAUCCGGAUUUAUUGGGUUUAAAGGGUGCGUAGGUUGUUUUUUAAGUCAGCGGUGAAAGUUUGUGGCUCAACCAUAAAAUUGCCGUUGAAACUGGAAGACUUGAGUGUGUUUGAGGUAGGCGGAAUGCGGGGUGUAGCGGUGAAAGGCAUAGAUAUCACGCAGAACUCCGAUUGCGAAGGCAGCUUACUAAGCCAUAACUGACACUGAAGCACGAAGGCGUGGGGAUCAAACAGGAUUAGAUACCCUUGUAGUC
rnacentral:rRNA from 1 species